rnacentral:rRNA from 1 species
AACUGAAGAGUUUGAUCAUGGCUCAGAUUGAACGCUGGCGGCAGGCUUAACACAUGCAAGUCGAGCGGGGGAAGGUAGCUUGCUACUGGACCUAGCGGCGGACGGGUGAGUAAUGCUUAGGAAUCUGCCUAUUAGUGGGGGACAACAUCUCGAAAGGGAUGCUAAUACCGCAUACGUCCUACGGGAGAAAGCAGGGGAUCUUCGGACCUUGCGCUAAUAGAUGAGCCUAAGUCGGAUUAGCUAGUUGGUGGGGUAAAGGCCUACCAAGGCGACGAUCUGUAGCGGGUCUGAGAGGAUGAUCCGCCACACUGGGACUGAGACACGGCCCAGACUCCUACGGGAGGCAGCAGUGGGGAAUAUUGGACAAUGGGGGGAACCCUGAUCCAGCCAUGCCGCGUGUGUGAAGAAGGCCUUAUGGUUGUAAAGCACUUUAAGCGAGGAGGAGGCUACUUUAGUUAAUACCUAGAGAUAGUGGACGUUACUCGCAGAAUAAGCACCGGCUAACUCUGUGCCAGCAGCCGCGGUAAUACAGAGGGUGCGAGCGUUAAUCGGAUUUACUGGGCGUAAAGCGUGCGUAGGCGGCUUAUUAAGUCGGAUGUGAAAUCCCCGAGCUUAACUUGGGAAUUGCAUUCGAUACUGGUGAGCUAGAGUAUGGGAGAGGAUGGUAGAAUUCCAGGUGUAGCGGUGAAAUGCGUAGAGAUCUGGAGGAAUACCGAUGGCGAAGGCAGCCAUCUGGCCUAAUACUGACGCUGAGGUACGAAAGCAUGGGGAGCAAACAGGAUUAGAUACCCUGGUAGUCCAUGCCGUAAACGAUGUCUACUAGCCGUUGGGGCCUUUGAGGCUUUAGUGGCGCAGCUAACGCGAUAAGUAGACCGCCUGGGGAGUACGGUCGCAAGACUAAAACUCAAAUGAAUUGACGGGGGCCCGCACAAGCGGUGGAGCAUGUGGUUUAAUUCGAUGCAACGCGAAGAACCUUACCUGGCCUUGACAUACUAGAAACUUUCCAGAGAUGGAUUGGUGCCUUCGGGAAUCUAGAUACAGGUGCUGCAUGGCUGUCGUCAGCUCGUGUCGUGAGAUGUUGGGUUAAGUCCCGCAACGAGCGCAACCCUUUUCCUUACUUGCCAGCAUUUCGGAUGGGAACUUUAAGGAUACUGCCAGUGACAAACUGGAGGAAGGCGGGGACGACGUCAAGUCAUCAUGGCCCUUACGGCCAGGGCUACACACGUGCUACAA